CAGUAGCCGCGGUAAUACGAAGGGGGCUAGCGUUGCUCGGAAUUACUGGGCGUAAAGGGAGCGUAGGCGGACAUUUAAGUCAGGGGUGAAAUCCCGGGGCUCAACCUCGGAAUUGCCUUUGAUACUGGGUGUCUUGAGUAUGAGAGAGGUAUGUGGAACUCCGAGUGUAGAGGUGAAAUUCGUAGAUAUUCGGAAGAACACCAGUGGCGAAGGCGACAUACUGGCUCAUUACUGACGCUGAGGCUCGAAAGCGUGGGGAGCAAACAGGAUUAGAGACCCGCGUAGUCCCUGUCUCUUAUAC
rnacentral:rRNA from 1 species